GCAUUAAUGGGGUAGUGGUAACCUGGGUCGUUGCCAUGUGAAUGUCGACCCGCCGGGGGUUCGAUUCCCCCUUAAUGCA